GUUUUAAAACCAGCUGUGUUGUAUCUCCAUUAAGUUCAUCUUUUAUUCACCCACAGAAAUCAUGGCAGAAGCGGGACGUAGAAGACUCAACAAAAGCCUUUUCCAAAUUGUUACCCUGCUGCUUCUAGUGCACAUCGGACAGUCGCUGGUUUUUGGAGAUUAUCGGCUUCGGAACAAGAUUGUGAAAGGCUGGAAGGAAACAAAAGCACUGGUUACACAGCUGACAGAAGCCCGAAGUGGCACUGAAUUUAUCUUAACACUUUUGGACGAAGCGUACCCUCUGGCAACCAGGAAGCAUCUUG